UACGUAGGGCGCAAGCGUUUAUCCGGAAUUAUUGGGCGUAAAGAGCUCGUAGGCGGUUUGUCGCGUCUGCCGUGAAAGUCCGGGGCUCAACUCCGGAUCUGCGGUGGGUACGGGCAGACUAGAGUGAUGUAGGGGAGACUGGAAUUCCUGGGUGUAGCGGUGAAAUGCGCAGAUAUCAGGAGGAACACCGAUGGCGAAGGCAGGUCUCUGGGCAUUAACUGACGCUGAGGAGCGAAAGCAUGGGGAGCGAACAGG
rnacentral:rRNA from 1 species